rnacentral:rRNA from 1 species
GCGGGCCUAUCUGUCUCUUACAAUAAAUCAAUUAAACUGAUCUUCUAGUAAAAAAGCUAGAAUCCACACACAAGACCAGAAGACCCUGUGAAGCUUAAACUAAACUAUUAAACCCUAUAAUAUCUACUUUAGGUUGGGGCGACCUUGGAAAAAAAAAGAACUUCCAAACACAUGACCACACUCAUUCAUCAGGCCCACAAGCCUCAUAAAAGACCCAGUACGACUGAUAAUUGAACCAAGUUACUCCAGGGAUAACAGCGCUAUCUUCUUCAAGAGUCCAUAUCAAAAAGAAGGUUUACGACCUCGAUGUUGGAUCAGGACAUCCUAACGGUGCAGUCGCUGUUAAGGGUUCGUUUGUUCAACGAUUAAUAGU